rnacentral:lncRNA from 1 species
ACUUUUCCUGGCGAGAUGCAACAUAUCUCACCCCAAAAAUGAAGCACAAGGGACCAGAGUAACAGUUGCACCCAUGUUCUGUUGGUGAACUGUGAUCGUUAUUGAGGUUACUAACAGGAUUAUGGGUGAGAAGUUUCUGUUGAGGAGUAGGGAUAACUCAAAAGCAGCUGCACUACCAAGAAGCCCUCCCCCCAAAACCACUGUCCACCUUGAACGCUACAACCUAGACCUCCCUGCAGAACAGCUGGUCUGUCUCCUCCUCCAGCAGGUGUUCCUUGUCUUUCUGUGUAAGGGUUCCUCAAGAGUCUUCCAAGAUACUUCUCUCAGACAUGUGCCUUUAUUGUUAUUAUUAAACCUCCCGAGGCUCAAGAGCCUCUCUUCUGGAGUAAACAGCCAUCAAACAUCACUAUUUUCUCCAGUUACUUGAGAUCUUAAUUUAGUAGGCCAAACGAGCCGCAGUUCACACGGAGAUAUGGUUCAAGUGUAAUGGGCAUUGUGGUAUUUGUGGUGCCACUGAAAGGCACUCAUCACACUCAGUGGCAAUGUAAGAUGCUGAACCUGUUGUAGAAAAGUUUUUGCAGCAUCUAAAAUAAAAACCAAGAAAACCUAGGUCUUCCUAAGUACUAGAAACUCGGGUUCACAGCAGCAUUACUUGGGUUGCCUCUAACUUGUGUCUGUGAAGAUAAACAUUAGACAUGCCUUAUGUAGUGGAAUUGGCAUAAGCCUGACAUGUACCUAACAUGGUUAUAAACUUUGA